CCCUUAGACGUUCUGGGCCGCACGCGCGCUACACUGACCAGUGCAACAAGCAUCCGUCCUUGGCCGAUAGGUCUGGGUAAUCUUUGAACGCUGUUCGUGAUUGGGAUAGACCUUUGCAAUUAUGGGUCUUCAACGAGGAAUUCCUAGUAAACGCAAGUCAUCAGCUUGCAUUGAUUACGUCCCUGCCCUUUGUACACACCGCCCGUCGCACCUACCGAUUGAAUGGUCCGGUGAAAUCUCAGGACGGCGGCUUGGUCGCUUGCGUCCGACUGCUGAAACUUGAUUAAACCAUAUCAUUUAGAGGAAGGUGAAGUCGUAACA
rnacentral:rRNA from 1 species